GCCGGAGCACCCCUAACUCCGGUUUAGACUUUCCUUGCAGGUUCCGAUGGUGACCGCGGUCAUCUCAACUCCAGCAACUCUGGCAUUGAUGAAAUUCUGCACCAACAGAAUUGGCGCUAGAAGGAGGGCUGUGUCUUUGCAGUACCCUUGUUCUUAAAGGAGUGCUCAACGAGACUAUCUCCGGUCAUCUUCUCCGAUGUCCUCUUCUCCUUCUCCUACUAGAUCUCCACCUGAUGCCUCCCCGAAAGGCAUCCACCAGGCGAUCCAUGACCUCCACAGCCAGAUCUCAGGCUCUGGCCUCGCCUCCAAUUUCCCAGGCUCCUCC
rnacentral:lncRNA from 1 species